rnacentral:rRNA from 1 species
AUUGAACGCUGGCGGCAGGCCUAACACAUGCAAGUCGAGCGAGCGGCGGACGGGUGAGUAAUGUAUGGGGACUGCCCGAUAGGGGGGGAUAAAUACGGAAAGCUGGGUCUAAUCGCGCAUAAUCGCGGAUAACCCAUAUGGUAUUAGCUAGUGGGUGGGGUAAAGGCUCACCUAGGCGACGAUCUCUAGCUGGUCUGAGAGGAUGAUCAGCCACACGGGGACUGAGACACGGCCCAGACUCCUACGGAGGCAGCAGUGGGGAAUAUUGCACAAUGGGCGCAAGCCUGAUGCAGCCAUGCCGCGUGUAUGAAGAAGGCCUUAGGGUUGUAAAGUACUUUCAGCCGGGAGGCGUUACCCGCAGAAGAAGCACCGGCUAACUCCGUGCCAGCAGCCGCGGUAAUAC